rnacentral:rRNA from 1 species
AGUGAACGCUGGCGGUAGGCCUAACACAUGCAAGUCGAACGGCAGCACAGUAAGAGCUUGCUCUUACGGGUGGCGAGUGGCGGACGGGUGAGGAAUACAUCGGAAUCUACUUUUUCGUGGGGGAUAACGUAGGGAAACUUACGCUAAUACCGCAUACGACCUACGGGUGAAAGCAGGGGAUCUUCGGACCUUGCGCGAUUGAAUGAGCCGAUGUCGGAUUAGCUAGUUGGCGGGGUAAAGGCCCACCAAGGCGACGAUCCGUAGCUGGUCUGAGAGGAUGAUCAGCCACACUGGAACUGAGACACGGUCCAGACUCCUACGGGAGGCAGCAGUGGGGAAUAUUGGACAAAGGGCGCAAGCCUGAUCCAGCCAUACCGCGUGGGUGAAGAAGGCCUUCGGGUUGUAAAGCCCUUCUGUUGGGAAAGAAAAGCAGCAGGUUAAUACCCCGCUGUUCUGACGGUACCCAAAGAAUAAGCACCGGCUAACUUCGUG